GUUGCUUAACCAUGGUGCCAGUGUGAACGCGGUGAACAAGGAGGGUUUUACAGCAUUGCACGACGCUGCACGUGAGGGUCAUGUUGAUUUCUUACAACUGUUGCUUAACCAUGGUGCCAGUGUGAACGCGGUGAACAAUGAUGGUGAUAUACCAUUGCACUACGCUGCAUCUCGGCGUCAUGUUGAUAUCUUACAACUGUUGCUUAACCAUGGUGCCAGUGUGAACGCAGUGAACAAUGAUGGUUUUACAGCAUUGCACAACGCUGCACGUGAGGGUCAUGUUGAUAUCUUACAACUGUUGCUUAACCAUGGUGCCAGUGUGAACGCGGUGAACAAUGAUGGUGAUAUACCAUUGCACUACGCUGCAUCUCGGGGUCAUGUUGAUAUCUUACAACUGUUGCUUAACCAUGGUGCCAGUGUGAACGCGGUGAACAAGGAGGGUUUUACAGCAUUGCACGACGCUGCACGUGAGGGUCAUGUUGAUAUCUUACAACUGUUGCUUAACCAUGGUGCCAGUGUGAACGCGGUGAACAUGGAGGGUGAUACACCAUUGCACGACGCUGCAUCUCGGGGUCAUAUUGGUAUCUUACAACUGUUGCUUAACCAUGGUGCCAGUGUGAACGCGGUGAACAAGGAGGGUUUUACAGCAUUGCACAAAGCUGCAUGUCUGGGUCAUGUGAAAUGCAUUAAGGUUUGUUUCUCUCAUGAGAUAGUCAAUGUUCAGCAGCUCAGUUAAUCCUCGCAAUUUUUGGAGAAAUAGGCAAAGAGAUAAUGCCGCUGAAAAUUGAAUAAACAAUAUCACUUUUUUUUCAGGGACGUUGGAACGAUGUGAGUGGGGGGGGGGGCAGAUUUUUGUGGUAGGGCUUUUUUCAAUGGGUUCAUAAUUCGUAAUUUUCGCCUCAUGAAGCGAACAUGUAAUGAUUUUUUAAAUAUUUCAAAUAUUUCCCGAAUAUCAAAAAGGGCACCUUUGCCCCCCCCCUCCCCUACCUGGGAAAGGCAAUACCCUCCCCUGCACCCCCUUUCCAGCGGCCCUGUUUUUUUGUAAUGACAUUUUGCAGAGCUGUCAAUUCCGAUGGUCUACUAGUUUUGGGGGCGGCUCAAGGUAUAAUGCAAUCACGGUAUGAAAAUGGUUCAUGCCAGUUCAAAAAAUCGUUUUCCACAAUAAAUCAUAUCAUAAAUUUUUCCACAUACUGCUGUUUGCAAGCUACCAUUAGGCGUGCGAUUUUUUUCAGGUUUGUUUACGUUUCAAACGGUGCAGGUUUUGACCGGAAAACGUUAACGUUUUGAGCAAGCCAAUCAACGUUUGGAGGCAUGUUCAAAGAAACUUUGCCAACAUUGUGGCAAACGUUGAUUGCCUCGCUCAAAACGUUAACGUUUUCCGGUCAAAACCUGCACCGUUUGAAACGUAAACAAACCUGAAAAAAAUUUGGCAGCCUCAGAUUUCUGAACUAGCCAGCCACUAGAUAAACAUUUGUGUGUUUUUUCAAUUAAUGAUAUCUUGUAUAAUUUAUGUUUAGGUGUUGUUGAAAAAUGGUGCAAACAUCAACGCGUUGGACGGAUUCGGUAGAACUCCAUAUCAAACUGCAAUGCGACACAAAUAUAAAGAAACUGCCGAGUGUUUAAGAAAUGCAGGUAUUUAUAA
rnacentral:lncRNA from 1 species